GUCUCCGGGUCACCGAACCUGUCGCAGGUUUUAGCCUGAGCGACUCCGCCAGCAGAUGGGUCACAUCCGUUCGGAGGCUGCAGACCCCGCGCACGGGGGGGGGGGGGGGUGCUGGUGCGGGCCCGGGGCCGUUCCCGUGCACGGUUAGUGCCUGGGACCGGGGCGGAAGCCCCCGGGGAGGACCAGGGGAGCGGGCGGGGCGCAGCUGCGCGCGUUCGGGCCGAGUGACUCGGCGGCGGCGGCGGGAAGCAAAGGUAGGAGCCCUCCUCCAUCCCGCGCCCGGGGAUGGGCUCCGUCCAAGGGCUGGCCCAGCGUCGGCCGCCCGGGGUGGGCCUGCGCACAAUCCGCGUGGAAGAGGAGGAGUGGAAUUUCCACCUGGCACGUGCGUGGAUGCGUAGCCUUGACGCUCUAGACGCCGAAGCCUGCGCUGAGAAACGGUGCGCGUAGGCGGGUUUGGAGGCCGGCGGCGCCCUGCCUUUCCCGGUUUCAAAACACCCUUUUGAUGAAGGCAGCGACUGGGGAGGCUAGGUUAGGGAGGAAGGGGCAGGGAGUUCGCACCUGUGUUUUUUGGCCGGAGAAAUUCCAACACCGGACAAGCCAGUUCUGCUCCUUCUCCUUAACGUGCCCAGUGUGACUUUGGUAAGCUUCCUUCCACAGAUCGGCCUUGUUUUGUGCGAUAGACGGGUUCCUAGAAAGCUAUGCAAAACAAUGUUCCUUUAUGGAAUCUGAUGGAAGUAGCUUACCACAGGGCAUAUUGAUCCCAGGUAACACGGGUUUAUAUACCCUUAAUUAAAUAUGGAUAAUUAUAUGUUCCAUCUGCCUCAUGUUAUAUAGAAGUACCGAUGAGAUAAUCUUUUCUAAGUGAUACUGAGACUUGUGAGCUGGUUACUUCAAGGCUAUAUAGUGGGGGCUGGGGGGCUUACUGUUUUCUCUUUACAUCUCUACCCCCUUAUUUCCAGAAGAGGGAAUAAAGGACAAACCCUUUUACUUAGAUCAGUUUAACGUUUAUCCGCCACUAUUCUGAAGCUUGGGCUUCAAUUAAUAUAAGUAGAGUAAAAUUAAUACCCUAAAGCUAGCUGAUACGCUUAACAAUCAGAAAACGUUGCAAUUUCUAAAAAUUUUAUUUCCUCUAGUAAUUUAACCCAUAUGAUGUACAUGUGUAUGCGUGUAUAAGCAGCUAGAUAUCUUUAUAAGAAAAAGUGUGUUAUCCGUUGUGCUAAGUCUAUACUUUUAUUGCUCCUCGCUAAACCCGUUUUAAAUGAAAAAAAAAAGUGACUUCUAAAGAUCUGUGAAAUAAGCAACAGGAACAAAAACAUUGCAUGUUUUUGUGAUUUCAUAAGCACACUGAAAAACCGAAAGCAAUAAUCUGUACUGCUGGUUAAGCGUGAGGUUGCCAUUAUCAGCAGUCAGUAAUAAAAACGCAGUUAAGUGCAGGUGACCCAAUCCACAUUCUCUCAGUAUGAUACCUGGGAAAUGACUCUUUUGAACGGAUUUUUCUGGCUUUCUUUGUUAUUUAUCUUUCUUACAAAAGUAGAAAACAGGUAUAAAAAAUUGCAUUUAGGAAAGUAAAUUGCAUAAAGGAAACUUAAAUGCGAUCACAGCAUCCUCAUAGAAGGCGAGCAAAAAAUGUUGUCAGUAAUAAGGACCACUUGUGCUGGACCAGUCAUCCCUCAGCCUCUCUUGUAGAGGACAGUCUUCCAGAGAUGUCUGCAAGCAUCACCCAGGGCUACAAGUCUCCUGAGUCCCUCAUCACCAUUCCUUGAAUAUGCAGCACCUUAGAAAAGACCACGGCCUCCAGCCGUACCCCGACGGGGGACCUGACCUCCGAGCCUCGAUCCUAACCUGUACAAUGAGGAAGGAUGGAGUGUGUGUGAGGUUCCUGGAACAGAGUGGUGCUGGUGGUCACCGAAACAAGCAUUCUAAGAGCGGAAUGGUGGAGAAGGAGGAUUUUAGAAUCAGAUCUCGUCGCCGCUCGACCACUGUCUUGCUGUGUGGCCCAUGUAAGGCAUAUGGCACUCUGCUUCGCACACAGCGGAAGAUCGCCAUCCAGCUCGGGGACAAAUGCACCGGAGACAAGUCAGAAGCAAAGGCAGUGCCCAGGGAAGUGGCAGAAUGAGGCACGAAUACAGGAGCCCAGGAAGAGAGAGACGGGCCACCUGGGGAGGCUGAGGACUUUGUCACAGAGGAGGUGGGGCUUGGGCGGGAGCCAGCAGGAUGGGCAGGAGGUAAGCAGACCUUACUGCCUGACAUUGUUACUUAAUUGUUACCCACACUCGUCUUAUCUCCCAGCCAGAUUGCACAGUCUCAGGGGAGAGUGACCUUUCCCUCCAUAACCGGCACAGAGCCGUGCAUACAGUAAGUGACUAAUAAUCUCCCCUGGAAUGAGGUUGUCAAGAGGUUAAUCUGCAAGGAUUGAAAUUGCUAAUGUUGGUAAUGGGACCUCUCUUUAAAAACCUUAAAAAAAUGUGUUAAUUGUCCUGUAAACCUUUCGCUAUCAUCAUGAUAAAGCCGGAGAUUUGUUUCCAGUGCUUAUCUUAAACGAUUGUGUUGUGCUCUGAUGUUGGCGGUGUUCUUAACCUCCACAUGAGCAUUUUUUUAGAAAACAGCUUUUGUCUCCAUCUCAAGAGCCACUUUUAGGGAGGGGGAGGCUGAUUUGCUAGGCACGUCCUAGAGAAACUGGCUGAGGAGUUGUUUUUUUUAAAAAAAAAUUUAAUAAUUAGAUGAGAUCAUUGAAUUUGGAAGCCUGAUAGCUGCGGGCAGUGGACCCUGGACACCAGAUGUAAGCGUGUUGAGACGUGUGUGUGUGUGUGUGUGGUGUCCAUUCAAGCAGAGUACGUGGCUGAUGGACUCCCUGUCCUGCCUACCUUGCUGGACUCAGGGAACAGAGGGGCGAUGGGGCGGGGAGCAAGGAAGGACCUGGGGAAGCUUGCAUGGGGAGAUCCGGGGUGUGUCUUCUUCCUCCGUUUUCACUUGAACUAGCCACUUCUGUUUCAUUAUCGCUAAGCACCUUGGUUUCAGUGUUUUCCAAAGAGGAAAUGGAAGCAAACCCAGCACCCAGAUACAGUGACCACAACACUCUCCCACACAUCUGCCCUCGCGUGGCCGGGGUGUUUGGCCGGUUCGUAAACACGCCAUGGUGAUGACCUAAUAAUAACAGAAGUGUCACGACCUGGCAGGCGGCAGGGGACAUGAAGACGUUUGGCCUGAAAUCUUCUGACGUGUCCAAGCCUCACACUCGGCUUCUGCUUUUCACCCAGUUCCCCAGCACCCAGCGGAACGGGACCCGGGAGGCGCUGUGACUAGGGAUCUGGUAUGAAUGAAUCACGGCAGAGACUGCCAACCGAGAGGGAGAUUUACGGUCUCCAGCCUUAAGUUCUCCAAGUUUCAGACGUGGACAGGGGCUAAAAAGUCUCUCCUGACGUGGCCCGGGCUGCAGGCCCAGGCAGACGUCGUCACUCUCUCUGUGCUGCUGCUAGGGAACCGCAGCGACUUCUCAAUGCCGUUUAAUCCGUCCUCUUGUUGUGAUCCUUUGUGUUGCACCGAGAUUCUAAAAUUAAGACUGGAAACCGAGAAGAAUACCUUCGGGGCCCUCCAGCCGCCACCACGUUUGCGCACAAAGUACGGACUGACAUUUGAAAUCCUUUACUUUCUAAUUCCCAGCCAGGGGCCCACCCUUAUCACCACGGCGGCGGCCGGACCGUGUCUGAGCCCCAACCCUGCACGCGGCUCUGCUCCGUGUCUUCCCUGUCCCCCAGUGCCCAACGCCCUUUCUACCUGUGGCGUCCGCUUGGGCUCAGGGCCCUCCAGUGCCCCUCCUGCCUGAAGCUGUUGCUCAGCAGUUUCCUUCCAGAAAGGCCCACACGUAGUGCUUUAUGCCAGACGUGUUUGGUGAGAUGGACACUUUUGACCGGUCUAGAUCUGCAGUCAGUUGGUCAGCGCGACGUCUUAAACUCGCUUUGCUGCACUAAGGGGAUUUGUUUCAAAUAUAGACGCCUGGGUCCUACCCCCAUGGGUUCUGAUUCACGGAUUCCUGGAUGGAGCCCAGUGAUUUGUGUUUCCAUGUAGAGCUUCCAGUGCUGGGGGUAGAAAGGUCCUCCUUGGAGAAACACAAACCUAAGAUGUACCAACCUGCCCCUGCCUCCUCUCUCCUGAUCCUUUCCUAUUUAGCCCUCUCUCGGUGCCGGCUUCAAUGAGAUCCCUAUGUGAUGGUUAAUUUUAUGUGACAGCGUCACUGGGCUGCACUACCCAGAUAGGUGAUCAACAUUAUUCUGAAUGUUUCUGUGAAGGUGUCUGGGAUGAGAUUAAUACUCAAACUGGUAGACUUUGAGGAAAGCAGAUUGCCUUCCAUAGCGUGGGUGGGCCUCAUCUAAUCAGUUGCCGGCAUGCAUAGAACAAAAGCCUGACCUCUCCUGAGUGUGAGGGAAUUCUGUUGGAAGAUGGCCUUUGGAUUUCAUCUGUAACAUUUGCUCUCCCCUGGGUUUCCAGUCUGCCAGCCCACAGUGCAGACUUUGGACUUGUCAACCUCCUUAAUCUUGGAAACCAAUUUCUUAAAAUCUUUCUCUCUCCAUGUACACACACACACACACACACACACACACACACACACACACAUUUUUCUCAUUUUUCUUAUUGGUUCUGUUUCUCUGCUCUCUGAUACACCCUGUGAGAAUUUGAACUCCACUCCUUCUCACUGCAAAGUAUAUAUAGUCAACCCCCAUGCCAGAAUCUCCCAGAACAAGGCCUAAACCUAUCUGAACAACCCAGAACCCCUUAAAAAUGCAUGUUCCCAGUCUUCCUCCCGAGACUCUGACCCAGCAGAGCCUGGUGGGCCAUGAAGUCUGCACUUACAGAAUUCUUGGUUAUAUUUCGGUAUGUGACUCUAAUUCGUUUCAGCAUGUGAGUUGCAAUAGGGUAGAGCACAGUGAAAGGCACGGAAGUACGUAAGAACCAAUCCGUCUAGCGAGGAGUCUACAAUUCAAGUGAGGACUCCCAUUGCGCAGUGUUUUGGAGUGACAAGGACCACCAUGACCCGUUGCAUGGGGUUGAACACGGUCACCCUUAAAUUCACGUCCUUACCAGAACCUCAGAGUAUGACCCUGUGAGAAAUAGGAUUGUUACCAAUGUAACUAAUUAAAGUGAGGUCCUACUGGAGCAGGGUGGGCCCUUAAUCCGUUAUGACUGGCGUCCUUAUGAGAAGAGACCACAGAGACAGACAGAAGACAGCCACGUGGUGGGAAGCCGAGUUGCUGGCUGCCACCAGAAUCCAUGACAGACAUGGAACAGAUUCUUCCUCUGAGCCCCAAGAAGGAAGCAACUUUGCUGACCCCUCGAUUCUGGACUUCUGGCCAUCAGAAGUGUGAGAGAAUAAAUUGUUGUCUUAAGCCCUGCUAUUUGUGGUACUUGGGGAUUAUGGAGGCCCUGGGAUACUCCUACACCCAGCUGCCUAUAAACAACUAGAAAAUCGGUCAGAAUAUCUUGAACCACUGUUUGCAGGCACUGGAUGACUGGCAGCACAGGUCUGUGACCCAUGGGGGGAGGCAAAAAACAGGGUGGGACAGCACCCUUGUGAACACCCAAUGCAGUCAAGGCUAUGCUGGAAAGUUCUGUGUUUGCAGGGCCUCUUGGGUCCCCACUGGGUGACAUUUCCCGUGAGGACCAGCAGCUGGUUAUCCAGACCUCUGUAUUCCCAGCUUGAGGCCACACAAUGUUGUUCAGACUGGGGCCUGAGUAAAUCAUUGAGGAAUACUCUUAGACUGUGUUUCCUAAGCCAUCCUGCGGUUGAAGGUUGGGGUCCAUGACCGUGGUUCUGACCCUGGCUGGACAUUAGAAUCACCUGAGGAAUUUUCUCAGCCUGUGGAUGCUGGGGACCUGCCCCAGACCAGUUAAUCUCAGAUGUAGAAGAGGGGUGGGAUCCAAGCAUUAAUGUGUUUAAGACGUCCCCAGGUAGUUCUGCCCUGCAGCCAAAGGGAAGACCCAUUGAUCUAUAUUUUAACUUUCCAAACUUCUUUUAAUAAUCCUGCUCAAACCUAAUGUAAACUGAUUUUUUCCCCCACAGGUGACUUAUGACUUAUUCCUCCACUCUACUAGAAGUGCAUUCUGCCCUGAAUUAUCCCAAGCAGGUGGCAUUUUGUUUCAUGGCUAUGGUCAUGUUGGUGUCCUCCCACCCAGACCAGGCACUUUUUGCUUUUGCUUUCGAAUUCUGUGAUUAGUUUAAGCAAAACUACUCUAAUCAGAUCGGAAUUGUCAAGUAAACCAUUGUCAGAAAGAUCU